GAUGAACGCUCGCUACAGGCUUAACACAUGCAAGUCGCGGGGCAGCAUGGGGGUUGCUUGCAAUCCCCGAUGGCGACCGGCGCACGGGUGAGUAACGCGUAUUCAACCUGCCCUUCACCACGGGAUAACCCGGCGAAAGUCGGACUAAUACCGUAUGUUGUCCAUUGACGGCAUCCGAUUUGUACGAAAGGCUUGGCGGUGAGGGAUGGGGAUGCGUCCGAUUAGCCAGACGGCGGGGUAACGGCCCACCGUGGCUACGAUCGGUAGGGGUUCUGAGAGGAAGGUCCCCCACACUGGAACUGAGACACGGUCCAGGCUCCUACGGGAGGCAGCAGUGAGGAAUAUUGGUCAAUGGGCGUAAGCCUGAACCAGCCAAGUAGCGUGCAGGAUGACGGCCCUAUGGGUUGUAAACUGCUUUUAUGCGGGGAUAAAGUGGCCCACGGGUGGGCUUUUGCAGGUACCGCAUGAAUAAGGACCGGCUAAUUCCGUG
rnacentral:rRNA from 1 species